AAAAAUGGAAGAAAGUGUAAUUACUUCCAAAAGUGUUAGUAUUCAUGUUAUUUAUACAAUUAUCUAAAAAUUAGGACCAAAUCCAAUCAGUCGGCCCAAAUGGCAAAUACCCAAACGGGCAACAGCAAAUCGGUAAGACAUAUGUCACCACUCACAACUGAACUCACAACAUCACUUAGCAGCAGCAAUUGGCACUUUCUUUUCUUUAGCAAUUAAAAUCCAUCGAAGAGACGAAGUACGAACGGCGGAAAGCGGGACGCCGGACAAUGAGCGACGAACGGCAAACUCACCGGAGAGGCUCAGCGGCGAAUCAAGUUCAAGUGAUGCCUCCUUAAUCCAAAAUUCACUCGGCUAUUUGGGAACAUUAUGAGGUAAUUCAAGACAAUGAAGAAGUGCGCAAGGCAAGAUGCUUGAAAUGUGGCUUAAUCCUCAAUUGCCCUCUGAAAAUAUGUGGGAGAUUCUCUUUGCGUAGGCAUUUCGAUAAGUGUUCUAUGAAAGACGAGAAGAAUUUACUCACUCUUUAAGCACUUGAGAUAAUUCGACCUAGUUGAAUUUUAACUUUUAAGACUUGUUGUUGCUUCUAUUUUGUUUAUAUGUGGGCUGCUACUGUUUUAGCCUUUUAGGCUGCUACUAUUUUUGCAUUUUAUGCUAUUAAUUGCUGCUAUUUCAGCCUU